CGGGUGGGACUAGCUUGGGAUUGGCUUAGAUCGAUGGCACCAUGGGCUUUCCAGAGUCCAGGGGUCGUGUCCUUCUGGGAUUGGCUUAGGGUUAUGGUACCAUGGGGUAGGUCACUAAUGGGGCUGGGGGGAGUUUGGGUAAGAGGAAGUACAGGGAAGUGAAACUUAACACUUAAGAUGAUGCUCAGAUGUUAAAUCAAGACCCAGGACCUUCCCUUUCUCUCCCCUCCCCCUUUCCCAGUCUACAUGCUCUACUCCUGAUCCCUUUGCUAUUAUUAUUAUUAUUAUUAUUAUACCUUUUAUAGUGACUUUACAAAAGGGCUCAAGCCUGCAGGUAGAGUUCAGCAGCCGCCUUGUGGCCUGGCAUUUGUAUACUUCCUGGUUCACCAAGAGGUUGGUAGUAGUCAGACCCACUGAAGCAGAUGUGUCUUCCAGGCCGCCCCCUCUGCCAGCUGAGGUUCUACCCCAGUCCCAUGGCCCCCGCUUUCCACGGCACUCAGCACUUUGAGCAAAGAAUCAACUUCUUAUUGGCUAGAGUAAUGGAGUGGGGGACAAAAAUGACAGAUGGCCUAAAACCACGAAUUAGCUGAUGGGUGGUGCUGGCAACCGGAAGAGAAAGGGGGUGAGCCCUACUGCCCCCCCCCCCCCGCUCACCCUGCCCUCGCCAGGGCAGCAAGGAGCUUCCAGAGGGGCACGUUGAGCUCGCACUUUAAUCAAUCACAACUCCACAUGUGGGGUGACCAAGGGCUCAAAGGACACCUCCCAGCACCCCCUUCCUCCUCCACUCCUCCCCCUGCCCCCAGAUUUUCUCAUGGCUGCUUCUUUAAUCACGUUUUCUUUAACUCUAGUUCCCCUUCGAGGGCAAAGGGCUAGAUCUCCUUCAUCAUCUUCUCCCCCGAUCUCCAGAGCAUAGAGCAAUGUGCCAGACACAAAGGGCUCAAAACAGUCAAGACCCUGGUCAGUCCUAAUGCCAGGGUCAGCUGAAAGGUCAUCAGCAAUUCCAUUGGCUGGACAAUUCUGCCAGGGACAGAGACUCCUCAAGCACUCCCCAGGCAGAGAAGGCAGGCCUGCAAGCUGUGGGGAGCCUGGAUGUGAGCUGGUCCCUUCGUCCUCAUGUUAAAGAUGCCCUCCAGCCCCACCUCUGUCUAGUGACAGGUGAAGUGAUGGAAAGUUGGUUUACCUAAUUGCCCCCAAACCACACAGCCGGAUUUCUUUGCUAACCCAGCUGUUCCUCUGGACGCUUAGCAGCCACAUGGCCUGUGGGUUAGAAUGAGAUCAACUGAGACACGAUGUCUGUGCUACAUCUGAGGUGGGAUCUGGGGACCCCAGGUCAGAGCCCCCCAUUCCCUCUUCACCCUAAGAUGGCCUCACAUCUGACUCCAGGUAAUGUCAGCCCAAGUCAGUGUCCAGAGACUCCCUGGCAUAGAGAGGUCACCACCUCUCCCAGCCACAGCCGCCCACAGGUGCUGAGGACCUGAAGACCCCAGUGACUCAGAAAGGCCCGGGUGGCGAGGUCAGCCCUUUCGGUUUGAAGAUGCGUGGGAAAAAUCUCCUCUGGCAACCCACACACAUCUGAAAUGCAAAUAGACAAAACCUGCCCCCCAAGUUAAGAAAAUGGAUAUGUUUUUUAAAGGCACAGUUGAAGCUGAAGCCAUUAAAAGCCAGAGGAAGCAUAGCUAGUACGAAAGGUGUUCGAAGUGGGUUAGGGUUGAGAGAAAGGGCAGCCUUUGGCUUUCCCCACACUCCCCAGCUUCUGACGAAAGGUGGCGAAGUCAGCAGCAUGAUCACCAGCCCCAGGCUUUGAUGUGGGCCCCCUUCCCAUCCCCUGAGCUCUGCGGGAGGACAGACUGGUGUGUUGUCCUCACACUUUCUGGGCCCUCUGCACUCCGGUGACCUCAGCGCUUACCUGAGGCCUGUGGUGUGUUAUGCCUUCUUAGUGAAAAAAACCACAGAUGAGACAGGCCCGGCCUAAGACGCAAAUAGGAAGGCCUCAUCCCCAGACCCAUUCAGCUUCGGGCCUGUGGGUCCAUAGAAUCAGGGGUGAUUGAUUCCACGGGGGGCCUCCCCAGCUUUCUGCUCCCCAGGCUGACUCCAGCUGAGCUGUGGGAGAGAAGGAAAUCGUCCCUUAAAGACCAGAACACCUUCCAGGUCAGUGGAUCAUGUGUGUCUUCUGCAGGCAUGAGAAAGGACAGCUGGUAAGAAGGGAGAGGCGUAAAAUGAUAGGAGAACAAAGAAUUGAUGAGAAAAGGGAACACAGAAAAGGCCUUCCCCAGAGGCUCGGAAGCAAGACCCAGAAGGCUAGGUUAGCCAAAGCCAUCUUUCCUCCCAGAGGAAGGGAACAGAAAGAAAAUAGCAGUGUCGGUGUGGCCGAAGCCAACCAUCACAUCCAGAGGAGGCAGUGUUUUAACAUAAGCAAGACCUGGACCAUUGGCUGAGAACCAGAGGCACUGACUGCAGAUAAUUCAGGUUGUUCCUCUGCCUCUGGAGCCGGCUGCAAGGCCUCACGUGCUUUCACAGAAAGGCAACAGAGAGGGGCAGUAGCCUCAGUCCUUCCAGGAGGACUUUGCACAAGAGAUGGGGUCCAGUCGGAUGCGGUGGCGCACACCUGUAAUUCCAGUGACUUGGGAGGCUGAGGCAGGAGGAUCACUGGUUUGAGGCCAGCCAGCAACUUAUCAAGGCCCUAAGCAAUUUGGACCCUGACUCAAGAUAAAUAAUAAAAAUGACUGGGGAUGUUGCUCACUG
rnacentral:lncRNA from 1 species